GUCUGUGGCCACACUACCCUGAACACGCCCAGUCCCAUCUGACCUGGUAAGCUAAGCAGGGUCCCUCCUGGUUAGUACUUGGAUGGGACACNGCCUGGGAAUUCCAGGUGCUGUCUGUG
rnacentral:rRNA from 1 species